rnacentral:tRNA from 1 species
GUUUUAAUAGUUUAACUAAAAUAUUGGUCUUGUAAUCCAAAGAUGAGUUAUCUCUUAGAACU